rnacentral:rRNA from 1 species
GACGAACGCUGGCGGCGUGCUUAACACAUGCAAGUCGAACGGAAAGGCCCUGCUUUUGUGGGGUGCUCGAGUGGCGAACGGGUGUGUAACACGUGAGUAACCUGCCCUUGACUUUGGGAUAACUCCAGGAAACUGGGGAUAAUACCGGAUAGGAGCUCCUGCUGCACGGUGGGGGUUGGAAAGUUUCGGCGGUUGGGGAUGGACUCGCGGCUUAUCAGCUUGUUGGUGGGGUAGUGGCUUACCAAGGCUUUGACGGGUAGCCGGCCUGAGAGGGUGACCGGCCACAUUGGGACUGAGAUACGGCCCAGACUCCUACGGGAGGCAGCAGUGGGGAAUAUUGCACAAUGGGCGGAAGCCUGAUGCAGCAACGCCGCGUGCGGGAUGACGGCCUUCGGGUUGUAAACCGCUUUCGCCUGUGACGAAGCGUGAGUGACGGUAAUGGGUAAAGAAGCACCGGCUAACUACGUG